AUUUGAUAUUUUUUAAAAAAAAUAAUAUACUACCGCUUCAUUCAUUCAAAAGUAGAAUUACAUGCAGUUAGAGACAAUCGGACAUCAUAGAAAAAGAUGAAAAAAAAAUCUACUCAACACAGUAAAUUAAAGUUCUACAGAUUUCUCAGAGAACGAGCCUCCACCAUUAUUUGACUCGUGGUGUGCUUCUUUUUUUUCAAAAAUGCUUUUAUUGUGGCUCCAGCCAAAUAAUUCACCACGAAAAGGCUAUUGUCGCUAACUCUCUACCCCCUAAUUAAGGCGCCACCU
rnacentral:lncRNA from 1 species